UACGGGGGGGGUAAGCGUUGUUCGGAAUUACUGGGCGUAAAGGGCUCGUAGGCGGCCAACUAAGUCGGACGUGAAAUCCCUCAGCUUAACUGGGGAACUGCGUCCGAUACUGGAUGGCUUGGAUUUGGGAGAGGGAUGCGGAAUUCCAGGUGUAGCGGUGAAAUGCGUAGAUAUCAGGAGGAACACCGGUGGCGAAGGCGGUUCUCUGGGCAUUACCUGACGCUGAGGAGCGAAAGUGUGGGGAGCGAACAGG
rnacentral:rRNA from 1 species